AGUCGAACGAAUCCUUUCGGGGAUGAGUGGCGGACGGGUGAGUAACGCGUGAGAAUCUGCCUUUUGGUCGGGGACAACCACUGGAAACGGUGGCUAAUACCGGAUGUGCCUUUAGGGGUGAAAGAUUAAUUGCCAGAAGAGGAGCUCGCGUCUGAUUAGCUAGUUGGUGAGGUAAAGGCUCACCAAGGCAGCGAUCAGUAGCUGGUCUGAGAGGAUGACCAGCCACACUGGGACUGAGACACGGCCCAGACUCCUACGGGAGGCAGCAGUGGGGAAUUUUCCGCAAUGGGCGAAAGCCUGACGGAGCAAUACCGCGUGAGGGAGGAAGGCUCUUGGGUUGUAAACCUCUUUUAUCAGGGAAGAACCAAAUGACGGUACCUGAAGAAUCAGCAUCGGCUAACUCCGUGCCAGCAGCCGCGGUAAUACGGAGGAUGCAAGCGUUAUCCGGAAUUAUUGGGCGUAAAGCGUCCGCAGGUGGCUCAUCAAGUCUGUUGUCAAAGGCAGGGGCUUAACCCCUGAAAGGCAGUGGAAACUGGAGAGCUAGAGUGCAGUAGGGGUAGAGGGAAUUCCCGGUGUAGCGGUGAAAUGCGUAGAGAUCGGGAAGAACAUCGGUGGCGAAAGCGCUCUGCUGGACUGCAACUGACACUAAAGGACGAAAGCUAGGGGAGCGAAUGGGAUUAGAUACCCCAGUAGUCCUAGCCGUAAACGAUGGAUACUAGGUG
rnacentral:rRNA from 1 species